ACUCUCCCACCCGUGACGACAACAAACUCGGACCUUUAGCCGACUGUGGCAGUUACUAGUUCAGUUUCGCUGUGUCUUCCGACGAAUGAACUUAGAAAUUUUCUUACCUUCUGAGAACUUUGACAAUCUAUCUCCACGAUCAUGGACUUAGAAAUUUUCGUAGGAUGCCAAUGGAGCGAGUAUUAACGAAGACUUAAAAACCUCGUUGCAAUCGUGCGCGUUGCAAUGAUGUAAUCGAGUGUUAGUAUCGCUAAAAUAAAUUUAUCGCGAAGUAGAAGCAGUGUUUGUUCGUUCGCGUUUCGCGAUUUAAAUCAUAAGUGUUUUUACAAAGACUGCGUGCAAUGCAGUCGUUAGAAUCAGUGUUUGUUCGUAAAGUUAUUUGCUCUUUUAUCAGUCGCACAGACUGAGUUUAUAAAAUAUAGUAGAGUUCCGCGAAUUAAAUUCAGUGAUCGUUCGUUAAUAAACAACUACCGCGAAUUAGAGUCAGUGCAUCACUGAAGAGGAUCUCGACCAACUUCGAUGUCGACCUACCUCAUUUUCAACCAACUACAAAUCAUCCACCCUCAAUUUCGACCUAAAUCGCGGUCCAGUGUUUUGGAGCCAUCGCAGAACUUCUUAAGUAGUUAGAUCAUCGAGG